GUGCCUCUCAGGAGGCUUCAACGCAGAUCAACGAUCCAAACUCGCUGGAUCUCCCCAGCCUCAACGCGUCAGGCGUCGCGCCGCCCCCGCCCCGCUCACCCGCCUCCUCAGGCGGUGCCAGGCAUCGACGGCCCAGGUUAUUGAUCUUGAGAUGGCUGCCUCAACUGAAAUUGUGCCCUUUAAAGACUUAUCCAUCUACACAAGACUGCAGGGUUGCUUGAAGCCUCUGUUAUCGUUGGGGCAAUCAUCGGAGGUGCCAUGGAUGAGCAAAUUAAGUGACUGAAAGUAUGCAAGGUUACAAUAACGCUGUUGUUCCAAGUGGUUUGUAACAUGCUUGAUGUGAAAAUAGCAGGGAAAGACUACGCAAGUGACAAAAUCACAUACCCCAAGUUACUGAAGUUAGAGAUAUCUCAUGACUUUGCACAAAAGAUACAACGAAGCAGCUUACUGGUUUCACCAGGCAGGACCUCUAUUGCAUUAAACGAAUUAGAUCGCCUUUAUACACAAAACUAAGGUGAUGUUUACCAGCGUUUGUAAUUAUCUCAAUCAUAUUCUGUAGCUUUCUAUCUUGGUGUGUAACGGGGAUAUUUAUCAGUGACACCUAAUUUAUUUGCAUACCUAUGAAUGAUUGUUGAAAUGCUCCAAACAGUCUUAUCUAGAAAAUAUUCAGUUGCAAA